CUUGAGGCCAGUUGGUGGAGAGCAGCCUGGACAACAAAGCAAGACUCUGUCACUGAAAAUAAAAUAAAACACAGAAAAAAAAAAGAAUGAUCACACAGGUGAAGAUUCAAAUCUAUUCAAAAAAGCAACAGAACUUAUUUUGCAGGAUAAAUUGGAUUUUGCCUAGCACACAUGUAUGGAAAUAUUAUAAUAAACCAAGUAAAGAAGAACAUGCACAGAAACAACAUAUGAAGCACCAGAGAACUUUUGGUACUCCAGUAUGGAUGGAACAUAACAACAGUGUGGUGGACUGACGUUAAGUUCUCCCCUCCCAUGAUCUCUACCUGCUGGUCUUCAUACCACCAUGUAAUCCUCUCUCCUUGAGUGUUGGCAGGACCUGUGAUUUGCUUUUAACCAAUAGAAUAUGACAAAGGUAUUCUCCCCUGAACUCUGAUCCCAGACAUUCAACCGACUAGCUGGCAAUUCCACAUGGGAAAUCAAGCCUGAUUCCUACACUUAAUAGUUCUACAGCGUAUUACUUAGUUUAACAGCCUGCUGGGUAAUUCAUUAUCCUAGUUGAGUCUCAUGUUCUUCAUCUCUUUAAGGGAGUAACAAUAAUACCCAGCUCAUAGGAGUGUUUUAAGGAUUAAGUGAGAUGAUGCAUGUGAAGCAUUGGUAGUCGCAUCUCACAAAUUAAGUCUCAAUUAAUGCAAAAAUGGUAUGGAAAUAUGAUGAUGUUGUCCCAAAAACACUUCUAACAAAAUAUGGCCAAACCUAAACUGUGUUCCUCCAUAUCUUCACUCAUUCUGUGGCCGCCUCCUAAAAUACCCUUCUUUUUUGCCCUGUCCACUCCAGAUGGAAUAUCAUCUCUCAAUAUUCAAUGAAUUAACCUCCCAACACCCAUGGAUUACUUGAUUCUGAACCACUAGAGUUACUAAUACAAAUGUGCGUUUCUGAACCCCACAAGCUUUGAUAACCUGUGCUCUAGAAUAGGGAUUCAAUGCACAAUUUAGUAUGAAGGCAUUUCAGACCUGCAGAGAGAGGCACCCCUCAACAUAAACCUUGUAGAGACAUGCUUUUUGAUCAACACAAACAUUGAGGACAACAUAAACCUUGCAGAGACACACUUUUUGAUGAAAAGAUGACCCACCCUAAUUUUUUUUAAAAUUUGCAUCAAAAAGUACUAUCACCAGAGUAAGAAGGCCACACACAGAAUGGGAGGAAAUAUUUGCAAAUCAUGUAUCUGAUAAAGAACUAAAUUUCAGAAUAUAUAGAAAAUAGCUAAAAUUCAACAACAAAAACAAAACAAUCCGAUUCAAAAAUGGGCAAAGGAGUUGAAAAGACAUUUCUCCAAAGAUGAUAUAUAAAUGACCAAUAAGCACAUGAAAAGAUACACCAUGUCACCAACCACUAGGGAAAUGCAAAUCAAAACUACAACGAGAUAGCACCCCACUAUGAUUAAAAGAUACAGAAAAUAAGUGUUAAUAAGCAUAUGAAGAAAUAAGAACUCUUGUUUACUGUGAGUGGGAAUAUAAAAUGGUACAAACAUUGUGGAAAAAUAAUGUCAGUUCUUCAAUAAAUGAAAAGAAAUAAUAUUACCAUAUGAUCCAGCAAGUCCACUUCUGGAUAUACCAUAUACCCCCCAA
rnacentral:lncRNA from 1 species